rnacentral:rRNA from 1 species
UACGGAGGGGGCUAGCGUUGUUCGGAAUUACUGGGCGUAAAGGGUUCGUAGGUGGCUUGCUAAGUCAGACGUGAAAUCCCUCAGCUUAACUGGGGAACUGCGUCUGAUACUGGCGAGCUUGAGUGCAGGAGAGGAACGCAGAAUUCCAGGUGUAGCGGUGAAAUGCGUAGAUAUCUGGAGGAAUACCGGUGGCGAAGGCGGCGUUCUGGACUGCAACUGACACUGAUGAACGAAAGCCAGGGGAGCAAACGGG